AGGACGAACGCUGGCGGCGUGCUUAACACAUGCAAGUCGUGGGCAUGGGGUAACCCAUGACCGGCGAACGGGUGCGUAACACGUGAGCGACCGUCCCUACGUGAGGGGGAUAGCCGGCCCAACGGCCGGGUAAUACCGCAUACGCUUGACAGGGGGCAUCCCCAGUCAAGGAAACCUCAGGGGCACGAGGACGGGCUCGCGGCCUAUCAGCUAGUUGGCGGGUAACGCCACCAAGGCGACGACGGUAGC
rnacentral:rRNA from 1 species